AACGAACGCUGGCGGCAUGCCUAACACAUGCAAGUCGAACGAGACCUUCGGGUCUAGUGGCUCACGGGUGCGUAACGCGUGGGAACCUGCCCUUAGGUUCGGAAUAACUCCCCGAAAGGGGUGCUAAUACCGGAUAAUGUCUUCGGACCAAAGCUUUAUCGCCUUUGGAUGGGCCCGCGUUGGAUUAGCUAGUUGGUAGGGUAAAAGCCUACCAAGGCGACGAUCCGUAGCUGGUCUGAGAGGAUGAUCAGCCACACUGGGACUGAGACACGGCCCAGACUCCUACGGGAGGCAGCAGUGGGGAAUAUUGGACAAUGGGCGAAAGCCUGAUCCAGCAAUGCCGCGUGAGUGAUGAAGGCCUUAGGGUUGUAAAGCUCUUUUACCCGGGAUGAUAAUGACAGUACCGGGAGAAUAAGCUCCGGCUAACUCCGUG
rnacentral:rRNA from 1 species